UACGUAGGGUGCGAGCGUUAAUCGGAAUUACUGGGCGUAAAGCGUGCGCAGGCGGUUUUGUAAGUCGGGUGUGAAAUCCCCGGGCUCAACCUGGGAACUGCAUCCGAGACUGCAUUGCUAGAGUAUGGGAGAGGGAAGCGGAAUUUCUGGUGUAGCAGUGAAAUGCGUAGAUAUCAGAAGGAACAUCAGUGGCGAAGGCGGCUUCCUGGACCAAUACUGACGAUCAGGUGCGAAAGCGUGGGGAGCAAACAGG
rnacentral:rRNA from 1 species